GUGCUCACUUCGGCAGCACAUAUACUAAAAUUGGAAAGACACAGAGAUUAGCAUGGCUCCUGUGCAAGGAUGACACAAAUUUGUGAAGUGUUCCACAUUUUG